ACGUAGGCAGCAAGCGUUGUUCGGAGUUACUGGGCGUAAAGAGUGUGUAGGCGGUUCGCCAAGUUCGGUGUGAAAUCUCCCGGCUUAACUGGGAGGGUGCGCCGAAUACUGGCGGGCUAGAGUGUGGUAGAGGAGGGCGGAAUUCCUGGUGUAGCGGUGAAAUGCGUAGAUAUCAGGAGGAACACCUGAUGGGUAGGCGGCUCUCUGGGCCGUUUCUGACGCUGAGACACGAAAGCGUGGGUAGCAAACAG
rnacentral:rRNA from 1 species